CAGCAGGGGGAAACGGGCAAAUCGGGUAACAGUGUGCCAGCGCGCCUGCGCCUUGGUUUCCUGCCCGAAGUUCGGGUGGCGUUGCGGCUGCUCUUCUAGUGCCCUGAAUAGUUGACAAAAAGCCAAAGAGAUGGAAGGAAAUACAGAUUCUGGGCAUGAGGCAUGAAGUCAGGGGAGAGGAGGCAAACAAACAGCUAACGUCUGCUACAGGAAUCAAGAAAAGCAAAGUAAAAGGAAAAAAUUAAAUACCCUCUUACUAAUGAAGAUCUGAUGGAAUUGGAGGCCCAGAGAAAAGACAAAUAGAGACAAGAGGAAGAAGAAGUAAACAAAGAACCAAAGAGAUUCAUGACACAGGAAAUGGCAAAGGGGUUUUUCUUAUCUGAGGAGGUUCUGUUAGUUUUUGAGGCAUAGGACCCGAAUGUAGAACAGUACACGAAGGUUGCAGCAGCCAUUCAGAAUGCAACCCAGUGCUACUGUGUCAUCUAUGAUAAGAAAAAAAGAGCUACUACCCAGAUAUCAUUGAAUCGUUUUUUCAAGAGGGAGAGAAUUGAAUCCAGCAAGGAACCAGAACCUGUGCCAUCAAUGUCAGGUGUGAGUGAAAUUGCAGCUCGCCCUCCGUCUCCUAUUGCUGACGAUCCUUCAGCUCUACCAUCUCCCACCUCCUCCCCCUCCUCCAGUCAGUAACUCUUCUUGCCUGUUCACUCCAUGCCAGCCCCUGUAUGCCAGCU